rnacentral:rRNA from 1 species
GAUGAACGCUGGCGGCGUGCUUAACACAUGCAAGUCGAGCGGAAAUAUGUAAUCGGAGAGCUUCGGCAGGAAGAUUACAUAUUUUAGCGGCGGACGGGUGAGUAACGUGUGGGCAACCUGCCCUGUACUGUGGAAUAAUCACUGGAAACGGUGACUAAUACCGCAUGUCAUUGCGAGAGGGCAUCCUCUUGCAAGAAAAGGAUUUAUUCGGUACAGGAUGGGCCCGCAUCUGAUUAGCUAGUUGGUGAGAUAACAGCCCACCAAGGCAACGAUCAGUAGCCGACCUGAGAGGGUGAUCGGCCACAUUGGGACUGAGACACGGCCCAAACUCCUACGGGAGGCAGCAGUGGGGAAUAUUGCACAAUGGGCGAAAGCCUGAUGCAGCAACGCCGCGUGAAGGAAGAAGGGUUUCGGCUCGUAAACUUCUAUCAACAGGGACGAAAAAAUAGACGGUACCUGAAUAAGA